GCCUGGUGAAGGAGAAGGAUUCCCAAUUUGGACAUUUUAAAGGCAACCAGGCAAGAUACCAUCAGAGAAGAGUUUCAAGCAGAGGAGGACUCUGGAGCAAAGAGUGGAAGAUGUUCGACUCAUCCGGGAACAGCAUCCAACCAAAAUUCCGGUUAUUAUUGAAAGGUAUAAGGGGGAGAAGCAGCUUCCUGUGUUAGACAAAACGGAAUUUCUUGUGCCAGAUUAUGUUAACAUGAGUGAAUUGAUUAAAAUAAUCUGGAGAUGCCUACAGCUAAAUGCCAACCAGGCUUUCUUCCUUUUGGUAAAUGGCCAUAGCAUGGUGAGUGUGCCUACACCUAUCUGCGAUGUUUACGGCAUAGAAAAGGAUGACGAUGGCUUCCUUUACAUGGU